rnacentral:rRNA from 1 species
AUUGAACGCUGGCGGCAGGCUUAACACAUGCAAGUCGAACGGUAACAGGAAGAAAGCUUGCUUUCUUUGCUGACGAGUGGCGGACGGGUGAGUAAUGCUUGGGAAUCUGUUUCAUGGAGGGGGAUAACUACGGGAAACUGUAGCUAAUACCGCGUAAUAUCGAGAGAUUAAAUGUGUGGGACCGCAAGGCCACAUGCCAUGAAGUGAGCCCAAGUGGGAUUAGAUAGUUGGUGAGGUAAUGGCUCACCAAGUCGGCGAUCUCUAGCUGGUCUGAGAGGAUGACCAGCCACACUGGGGCUGAGACACGGCCCAGACUCCUACGGGAGGCAGCAGUGGGGAAUAUUGCACAAUGGGCGCAAGCCUGAUGCGGCCAUGUCGCGUGAAUGAAGAAGGCUUUCGGGUUGUAAAGUUCUUUCAUUAGUGAGAAAGGUAUAAAUGUUAAUAGCAUUUGUAAUUGAUGUUAGCUAAAGAAGAAGCACCGGCUAACUCCGUGCCAGCAGCCGCGGUAAUACGGAGGGUGCGAGCGUUAAUCGGAAUAACUGGGCGUAAAGGGCAUGCAGGCGGUUACUUAAGUCAGAUGUGAAAGCCCCGAGCUUAACUUGGGAAUUGCAUUUGAAACUGGGUGACUAGAGUCCUCUAGGGAGGGGUAGAAUUCCACGUGUAGCGGUGAAAUGCGUAGAGAUGUGGAGGAAUACCGAAGGCGAAGGCAGCCCCUUGGAGAGAGACUGACGCUCAUAUGCGAAAGCGUGGGUAGCAAACAGG